rnacentral:sRNA from 1 species
CGCGUUAUAUGCCUUUAUUGUCAUGCCAAUAAUUUAUUGUUGCCGUCUCAUUCUGCGGAAUGAUGUUGUUUAUCGGUAAAAAAAACGACAAGCCCGAACGUUGUGUUCGGGCUUUUUUUUAUGGACAA